CGUCAAACCCUUCUGCCUCCAAGGCUCUGCAUGAAUCUAAUACACAUUUGUGCUCCUAAAUGUAUAUAUACCGAUUUCAAUAGGAUGACCUAUAUCUUUAACUAAUAUUGUAAAUACUUACAGUUUGUGUUGUUAUAACAUGAUUUUUUCUUGAUUUAUAAAACCUUGCUACGCCCUUCACAGCAAUGUUAUUGCAUUCUGUUGCACCAGACGUAAAAACAAUCUCUUUUUUAUCGGCACCUAUCAGAUCUGCCACUUGCUAUGGAAAGAAUCAUUUAAAUUAUCCAAAGGAAAACUUUAUUCCCAUAUUAAUGCAUAUCCUAUUGUACUAACUUUACGAGCAUGUUCUAUUGCAGCUUCUGUUUCCCAUCCAUACAUAUGGGUUCUAGAAUGUGGAUUUCCAUAAUAAGAAGUAAAAUAUAACAUCAUCUUAUCCAAUACCCGUGGGUCCUAAACAUUAAUCGUACUAUUAUUUUAUAACCCAUUACGUUAUACUUAUUGAUUAAAGACAUUGCACUGUUAAAGCAUAAGAUUGUGCAAUAUUAAUCCAUACCAUAGGUGUUGUAGCUUGAGCAUCUAAAUAAAGCGAUCUACCUUCCAAGGGUCCUCUCUUAUAUUCAUCGGUGAUAGGAGCUAUGGAUAAUUAUAAAACCGCUAUAAUAACAUGUUAAUCGUACUUUGACAAGUAACGACAGAUAGGAUAUAUAAUAACAAAUAAAAAACAUACAUUCGUAUUCGGUGAUUUCUGAAAAUUGUUGACUAAACCUACUUAAGAAGGAGCGACAAUCUUUAACUUGCCGUAACGUUAUCAUUAAACUUCUAGUCGGCCGAAACAUAAUGAAAAUAUUAAUAUUAUAAGUAAUUACUGAUCGUGCCCGCCAAUUCGACUAUUCCGCAUGCCCUUAACCUUAGCAAUCUCUGUCAUUCUGUGGAGUAUCGCCUAACAGUGUCAUCUACCGUUGAUUCGCUGAAACGUGCUAUUCAAAUUUUCAUCAGCGACGGCGCUACUUAACGAUUCCUAUGAAAAUAGAAAUAAUUUUUUUAUCAUUAUUACACAUGAAAUAUGUUUCGAAGGAAAUUUCGACAAAGUUAUUUCAUAGGAUGAAUCGAUAGUUUCGACUUUGCCUUUGAAAAAUGCACUUGCCGAUAGACAUAUCUAUUACGUUCUUCGUCAACGCGUUUAUUCAUUAUUAUAUAUCUAUUAAUAGCUUCGAUUAGUUUUACGUCAUUGCGAUUGUCCUCCCCAAUAGACACCAAUUCAAUGACAAAAAUCAGCUAAUCCGUUAAAAUAUGCGAACAUUUUAUUUUUCUUUUAUCGGAUCCCCCCUCGAGGAAUUUGACCGUAACACUUAUUUAACGGAACAAUAAUGAAAAAUGACGUUGUAAAUAUCACAAGUCGACAUAAGGAAGAUCGAUAAACGUUUCGAUCACUUUCUCCUGGUAUUCGCGAAUUUGUCGAGCAUAAUCGAGUUUGUCGCUCUGCUACAUUCUCAAGACAUGACGAUGAUCGACGUAAGACGGUAAGCAGGUAAAGUACGUGGGACAGAUAAAUAAAAACCUUCAUCGUGCAAGAUUGUGCGAGCGUAUUUUAAACACGUACGCUCGGAUAAGGGUUCGAUUUAAAGUGAAAGGAACGCUGAACAAAUGGUCAAGUCGUGCAACUAACAUCGUUCUGCGACAAACGCAAAGAUGAGGAGGAAAGGCAGCGAAAGACAGGACACCUUAUUAAUCGUAACGACCCUCUCGAUUAUGCUGCCGAUAACGUUAAACGCGGCUUUUAAAGAAGAUUGCAAAGAUCGGCUGAUGGAUUUCUUCACGAAGAUCUGUUGUGGCAACGAUCGCCUCAAAAGAGGCAUCGAAAAAUUUGAUUUAAAAAAGACGGACUAUAAGAAAUUCGAGCUAACCGAAUCUAUUGGCAAGUAAAAUAAGAUCUUACUUUCUGAGAUUCAAUCGAUCGGUCAAACUUUCCACUUUCCUUUUCUUCUUUCAGAUUUUUCCCUAGAGCGGGAUAACAAAUCUCUACAUCCUUCGAUAAACACGAGAAGAGAGAUAUAUCAUGAGAAAAUAGGAAAUCCAGAGGGAGAGCAUAUCGUGGAUGUUAAUUCUGAUUCUAUUCGAGAAGAUUUUCACGAACAAAAACGGUAUUAUCGAUCGAAAUCUCUUCCAUCUGUUUCCGUAAUGUCUCAGAAUGUUGCGAUAAAUAAUCGUAAGAUGAAAGGUAAUUUUCAAGGAGUCUAUUAUUCAAUUCAUACGUUAGACUAAUGAUAUCUAAUAAUAUAGACCGAGGUGCGUAUUUUAUUUAAUCGUUAAGGCUAAUAACGCGAUUGUUUAGCGCUAAAUAAUAAUAAUUUAUACAAUUAUACGAAAAGUCUCGAGCUUAACGUCGAAUUCGUAACGUCGACAUCCUUCCUAGUAAAUAAUUGUAAAUAAUGACAAGGUCAUUCUGAAUGAACGAACACCGGCUAAACUCUCCCAUUGCAUUGCACGUUAUCGUUUGCUCAUGUCAGUUCGUUCGAAGUAUGACGAUGUUCUUCGGAUAAUGCUUUAUCCGGACAAUCCUGCAUCAAAAACGUAUACAACUUCCUGAAAUGAAUAAUUUUACAUCUGAUUAAUCCAUCCAUGUAAUUAGCUUUUGUGAAAAAUUAUGAUAUUCUAAGGUCUAUUAAAUGUGUCUAAAAAUAUUAUACGAAGAAAAAAAGAAGAAUUUUGCAUCCGACGUGAUUUCCAAUGCAUGUGCUUACGUACGUUAAGAAAAGAAAAAUAACAAAGUCGAGAUUGUUCUAUUUCUUACUUCGUAGAGGGAAAACGAUGAUGUGCCAUUUCAAAUGGCCAUCGAAAAACUGUACGAGGUUUAUAACGAUUUUAACGAUCGAUUCCAAGAUCUUUUACGCAAGCCGAAUGAAAAAAAAAAAAAAAAAAAAAAAAAAAAAAAAAAAAAAAAAAAAAAAAAAAGAAAAAAACAAAACUACGAGACUUUGCUAAGACUUGCUAUUACGAGGAUAAUAUUUGCGAUAUCGAGAAUAUUGACGUUCUGUGUUUUUGAAAAGAACGAACGAAUAUUUUCCAAGGCUUUUCUCUUGUCAGAAAAAUAAAAUGUUAUAUCAUUUUCAAACUAUCGAUACCUUUGUAUAUCCCUGUGAUCUUAAUAUAACAUCUGUAUGUAAUGUUAUAGUAAGAUAUGGUAGAUUUGCGAAUACUUUCCGAUAUUUCAAGACGGUCACUGCGACAAAAAUACAUUUCCGACAGCGGAAGAACGAAUGGCAAUAGUUAAUCAUCUUGCAGAACCGUGAAACGCGUACCCACCCAUAAAAGUACAAAGUGCAGGUAUGUAAAAGUGACAUAUCGCUUGUUAAGUAGUUUCUAAGAAAUAUUUUACCGAGAAGUUCAAUUUUUGGAGGAAUAUAUUUGGAUCUUACGGCGCUUUAAGUGCCAUUUCAAUUUAAAACGAGACGUCUGAAGCGGUAUCGUAUAUUAUAUUUUCUAAUUAUACACAUACAAGAUGGUCGCGCAAACGUUUCGAGUUUCUAUCUCUAAGGAUGAUAAAUGCCAAAGAAUGCAGCGAUUGCGAAAAGGGAGAUCUCUCUGUAUGGUCAGCGAUGCGUUAAGAUGCUUUGUGAAGGAAUGACAGUGGAAAGAGGAAGACAAAGAUACUCUUCCCGUACUCGUAAGAGGAUUGAAGGAAAGACGAAUUUGACUUCGGUAUUCUUAAAUUCUCGUCCUCUUUGUCUUCGUCUAUUUUCUUAUUCGUGUAAAAGAUUAAAGACGUGGACCAAUGUGAGACCGAGAAAGUCGUCACUUUAGAAGAGCUCCGUUGCUACCGAGUCUCUCGGUGUCACUGGUACCGGUUCGUCUCGCCACGCGGUUCUUGUUCCAGAUUUUACGGGCCCCGAGAGAGCCGCGAGAGAGGGGGUAAAACAAGGAGAGCAUGCCUGUUGGUGGACAGACGCGUGCAAACCGAUUGCAGAAAUGUAGGGAAGGGGUUAACGCUGACAGAGAGGACUCGUCUGCAUUUUCUUAUUGUUUUCUUUGACCGCCUAUGUCGAAAAGAAAUAGCCCUGGGGAUGCUUUUGCAUCGUCGCGACGUCGUAACAAUCUUUUAUGUUUUACGAACCGAAUCGCUCAUGUACGAACGAUUAUUUUUCUUUCAAAUAAAUUACCGACAACAACAUAUAUUUCUGCUUUUCAAUAAUCGUUUCUAUUUUAUAUUUU